UCAGUCGACUCCUACGGGGAGGCAGCAGUGGGGGAAUAUUGCACAAUGGGCGCAAGCCUGAUGCAGCCAUGCCGCGUGUAUGAAGAAGGCCUUCGGGUUGUAAAGUACUUUCAGCAGUGAGGAAGGUGGAGUCGUUAAUAGCGGCCUCAUUUGACGUUAGCUGCAGAAGAAGCACCGGCUAACUCCGUGCCAGCAGCCGCGGUAAUACGGAGGGUGCGAGCGUUAAUCGGAAUUACUGGGCGUAAAGCGCAUGCAGGUGGUUUGUUAAGUCAGAUGUGAAAGCCCGGGGCUCAACCUCGGAAUUGCAUUUGAAACUGGCAGACUAGAGUACUGUAGAGGGGGGUAGGAAUUUCAGGUGUAGCGGUGAAAUGCGUAGAGAUCUGAAGGAAUACCGGUGGCGAAGGCGGCCCCCUGGACAGAUGCUGACACUCAGAUGCGAAAGCGUGGGGAGCAAACAGGAUUAGAUACCCUGGUAG
rnacentral:rRNA from 1 species